rnacentral:rRNA from 1 species
GAAACUGCGAAUGGCUCAUUAAAUCAGUUAUGGUUUAUUUGAUGGUACCUUACUACUUGGAUAACCGUAGUAAUUCUAGAGCUAAUACAUGCAAGAAUGCCCGACUUCGGAAGGGCUGUAUUUAUUAGAUAAGAAACCAAUCCGGUUCUCCGGUUGCGUGCUGAGUCAUAAUAACUGCUCGAAUCGCAUGGCCUUGCGCCGGCGAUGGUUCAUUCAAAUUUCUGCCCUAUCAGCUUUCGAUGGUAGGAUAGAGGCCUACCAUGGCGUUCACGGGUAACGGAGAAUUAGGGUUCGAUUCCGGAGAGGGAGCCUGAGAAAUGGCUACCACAUCCAAGGAAGGCAGCAGGCGCGUAAAUUGCCCGAAUCCUGACACAGGGAGGUAGUGACAAGAAAUAACAAUACAGGGCCAUCUUAGUCUUGUAAUUGGAAUGAGUACAAUUUACAACUCUUCACGAGGAUCAAUUGGAGGGCAAGUCUGGUGCCAGCAGCCGCGGUAAUUCCAGCUCCAAUAGCGUAUAUUAAAGUUGUUGCAGUUAAAACGCUCGUAGUCGGAUUUCGGGGCGGGCUGCUCGGUCUGCCGAUGGGUAUGCACUGGGUGGCGCGUCCUUCCUUCCGGAGACCGCGCCUUCUCUUAACUGAGCGGGCGCGGGAGACGGAACGUUUACUUUGAAAAAAUCAGAGUGUUUCAAGCAGGCAUCUCGCUCUUGCAUGGAUUAGCAUGGGAUAAUGAAAUAGGACUUUGGUGCUAUUUUGUUGGUUUCGAACACCGAAGUAAUGAUUAACAGGGACAGUCAGGGGCACUCGUAUUCCGUCGAGAGAGGUGAAAUUCUCAGACCAACGGAAGACGAACCACUGCGAAAGCAUUUGCCAGGGAUGUUUUCACUGAUCAAGAACGAAAGUUAGGGGAUCGAAGACGAUCAGAUACCGUCGUA